rnacentral:lncRNA from 1 species
AUGUGGAAGAUGAAGAAUAGUCCAGUGUGGAAAGUGAGGAACGAUCCCUUGUGGAAGGUGGGGAAUGCUCCAGUGUGGAAGUUGAGGAGCAGUUUGAUGUGGAAGAUGGGGAUGGAUUUUAUUUGGAAGGUGAGGAACAAUCCCAUGUGGAAGGUGGGGAUGGAUUUUAUUUGGAAGGUGAGGAGCAAUCCCCUGUGGAAGGUGGGGAUGGAUUUUAUUUGGAAGGUGAGGAACAAUCCCAUGUGGAAGGUGGGGAGGCCCUCAGGCCCAUCCCAAAUCCCGCGGCGGGCGCCGAGGAGCGCCCCGGCUCCCGGCAAUUAAACGCUGCUAACGAGGGAAGCGCUCGUUCCGUCCCUCGCGAUUGCUCCUGGCGCAGCCUCUCGACGAGCGCCUUCCAACACGGUUCUGCAGCACUGGAAGGGGAAAAAAAAAUUAAAUAAAUCGAAUCAAAUCUGCA